rnacentral:rRNA from 1 species
GACGAACGCUGGCGGCGUGCUUAACACAUGCAAGUCGAACGGGCCUUGUCCCCUUUUUUUUGGGGGUGGGGUUAGUGGCGAACGGGUGAGUAACACGUGAGUAACCUGCCCCUCACUUCUGGAUAACCGCUUGAAAGGGUGGCUAAUACGGGGUGUUCUGGCCUGCUCGCAUGGGUGGGUUUGGAAAGAUUCGACCGGUUUUGGUUGUGUUGGUGGGGGAUGGGCUCGCGGCCUAUCAGCUUGGUGGUGGGGUGAUGGCCUGCCAAGGCUUUGACGGGUAGCCGGCCUGAGAGGGUGGGCGGUCACACUGGGACUGAGACACGGCCCAGACUCCUACGGGAGGCAGCAGUGGGGAAUAUUGCACAAUGGGCGCAAGCCUGAUGCAGCGACGCCGCGUGAGGGAUGGAGGCCUUCGGGUUGUGAACCUCUUUCGCCAGUGAAGAAGGUCCUGCUCUUUGUGGUGGGGUUGACGGUAGCUGGGUUAAUGAAGCGCCGGCUAACUACGUG